rfam:Canis lupus familiaris chromosome 5, whole genome shotgun sequence.
UUCCUCCUUCUGGUCUUCCGGCAGGAGGUCAGAGGCCUUGUGGGAAGCCCAGUGGUCUCUCCCUGCUAUGCCCCCCCAUUACUGACACCCACCCCGCAAUGGAUAUCCCCAUCUCUCCUUCCUGGCCUGCCUUCCUCUCAAGCACUCUCAACACUGGCAAGAC